ACGAACGCUGGCGGCGUGCUUAACACAUGCCAGUCGAACGGAAAGGCCCUGCUUUUGUGGGGUGCUCGAGUGGCGAACGGGUGAGUAACACGUGAGUAACCUGCCCUUGACUUUGGGAUAACUUCAGGAAACUGGGGCUAAUACCGGAUAGGAGCUCCUGCUGCAUGGUGGGGGUUGGAAAGUUUCGGCGGUUGGGGAUGGACUCGCGGCUUAUCAGCUUGUUGGUGGGGUAGUGGCUUACCAAGGCUUUGACGGGUAGCCGGCCUGAGAGGGUGACCGGCCACAUUGGGACUGAGAUACGGCCCAGACUCCUACGGGAGGCAGCAGUGGGGAAUAUUGCACAAUGGGCGGAAGCCUGAUGCAGCUACGCCGCGUGCGGGAUGACGGCCUUCGGGUUGUAAACCGCUUUCGCCUGUGACGAAGCGUGAGUGACGGUAAUGGGUAAAGAAGCACCGGCUAACUACGUG
rnacentral:rRNA from 1 species